AUUGAACGCUAGCGGGAUGCUUUACACAUGCAAGUCGAACGAGUGGCGGACGGGUGAGUAAUAUCUCGGAACGUGCCCAGUAGCGGGGGAUAACUACUCGAAAGAGUGGCUAAUACUGCAUAAUAUUGGAGCGGCCGAUAUCGGAGUAGCUAGUUGGGGGGGUAAAGGCGCACCAAGCUAACGAGCCGUAGCUGGUUUGAGAGGACGACCAGCCACACUGGGAUGGAGACACGGCCCUGAUUCCUACGGGAGGAAGAAGUGGGGAAGGUGGGACAAGGGGGGAAACCAUGAUCCAGCCAUCCCGCGUGUAUGAGAAGGCCUUCGGGUGGUAAAGUACUUUUGGCAGAGAAGCGGUAUCUGCAGAAUAAGCACCGGCUAACUACGUGCCAGCAGCCGCGGUAAUUC
rnacentral:rRNA from 1 species